rnacentral:rRNA from 1 species
UGGGGAAUUUUCCGCAAUGGGCGAAAGCCUGACAGAGCAAUGCCGCGUGGAGGUGGAAGGCCUACGGGUUGUCAACUUCUUUUCUCAGAGAAGAAACAAUGACAGUAUCUGAGGAAUAAGCAUCGUCUAACUCUGUGCAG